UUACUUCUGCAGUAUAUACACUAAAAUUCGAACAAUACAGAGACGAUUAGCAUGGCCCCUGCUGAAGAAUGCCAUGCAGAUUUCUGAAGCUUUCCAUAUUUUA
ensembl:snRNA U6 U6 spliceosomal RNA